CUCCAGGCUGGAGUGCAGUGGCACGAUCUCAGCUUACUGCAACCUCCGCCUUCUGGGUUCAAACGAUUCUCCUGCCUCAGCCUCCCGAGUUCAUGCUUCUGCAAUCAUUCACUUCCCUGCCAAGAAGAAUGAUUUUCCAACCACUACUAACCAGCAAAUGCAGCAUCCUGAAAAAGAAGACACAUGGAGAAGACCUUCAACUACAUUGAAGCUGCCAACAUGUAACAGAGAUAGAAAUAUAGCAUAGCUAUAAACCGCAAAUAUCCUGUGGCUGUUUGCUGCUAUAGAAUAACCUAAAAAUGCUGACAAGCAUAGUGCUAUGCCUACAAGACUGAAAGCCUGAAAAUUAAACUUCACCUGAUCCGUUUCCAUCUCGACUGUGAUUAAUUACUGUCAGUAGGAGAUUUCUUCAGCAUUAGAAGAAAUGUGGGUUAUUUUCCCAGAAAUACCACAUUCUCUCAUCCUUACCUCAGCCCCAUGAGCAAUGACAGCUUCUUAUAAUUAGUGAUCCACAGAUAAUAUUGCUUUUUUCUAAUUUACUUCUGCCUAGGGGAUAGUAAUAACUAUUUGCUCUUAUUAUACUCUGAGUAACAUUGCCCUUCUUUUUAUUCAUUUUUGUUCCUGAAGUCCUUCUACUUUCUAACACUUCCAUAAUAAAUUUCCUAUAUUAAAUCCCUUUCUGAAUGAAAUACCUAGAGUAGAUUGACAUCAAAAAAAAAAAAAAAAAAAAAGAAGUUUGGAGUGUCUGCUCCAUGUUGGAUAAAAAAACUAAAUAAAAUCCUGGGAAAUGUGAAGAAUGCCAAAGAAAUGGAAAAAUGAGGACAGAAAAGAAUACUACUGCCUGGUUUCUGUGGCCAUAGGUCAAGCUGGAAAACAUUUUUCCAUAAAACCAUGUGCAAUUUCAUGCCACAGGUGAAAGAAUAGCCCAAAUCCACAAGGUACUGUUAUGUCCUACAAAUUCUUUCACUCAGUCAUUAUUGAUGUGAUUUACAAUUAAUACGUGAUUGUUUUACGUUACAUUAUAUCGUAACACUGUAUUACAUUAUACCAUGCAAAGCCCAAUUAAUGUAUUCUUUUUUAUAUGCAUUGUCAGCAGAAUCUACUAAAGCCUUGAGUGUAUAUGAUGUGUGUUGUGGGCUGAAUUUUGUCCCUCCAAAAUUUCUAUGUUGAAGCCCUAAUUUCUGGAACCUCCGAAUAUGACUGUAUUUAGAGAUAAGACCUUUAAAGAGGCAAUUCAAUUAAAAAUAAGACCAUUAGGUUGAACCCUAAUCUAUUCUGACUGGUGUCCUUAUAUUAAGAGGGAAUUUGGAUGUACAAACAGAACCAAGGAUGUGCAGAACCAGAAGAAAGAUCAUGUGAGAACACCGCCCUAAGUAUCUGCAAGCCAUGGAGAGAGACCUCAAAAGAAACUGAACUCUGACAACACCUCUAUCUCGCUCUUCUAGCCUUUAGAACUAUGAGAACAUAAAUCUCGGUUUUUUAAGCCAUCCAGUUUGUAAUACUUUGUUAUGGCUGACACAGAAAACUAAUAAAAGAUACAAAAAUACAGUAAAUAAUGCACGUUACUUGAUAAAAAUCAAGUAAGAAACUUUUAGUACAUAAAUUAGGUAAAUAAAAUGUAAAAUGUUUAUCUUCAGCUUCUAUACAAACAUGAAAUUUACUUUGAACUUCUCUGAAUUCUCAUAUUUCUUCUUUAAUUUAUUCCAGGUUCAGAUAAUGAGUGUAUUAUAAACAGAGUCUCAAACUUAAUUUGAUAACUGAAAGUGACUAUGUUGGUAAUUUAAUUUCAAAGUUAUAUCUUCAGCAUUUAUGUACCACAGAAACAUUUCACAAUAACAUUCUAAAAUUAAUGAAUUUUCCCAGAAAAGUGAUUCCAAUCAUUUGAAACUUUUUACUUAUGUACACGAUAAAUUUAAUGCAAACAUAAGCCAUUCCACAAAUACAUCUAAAUAUUAUAUCACAGGAUAUAGCAUGUAAUAUAUUUCUAUAGAUCAGUAGGAAAUUCAUGAAAAUUCAAACCAAGUAUAAGUUUUGUAAAUCACACUGUACUUUUCCAUUGCUUGUGUUAGUAUUUAACUUUUCAAGUAUUUUAAUGCUGUUUUCCCCAGCCAGUCUAUAAAUUCUUCAAGAAUUACUUAUUGUACCACCUACAGCAAAAUCAGAAACAUGAACAAUAUAAGUAAUCUAUAGUCUGUAUGGAUAGAAUGAAUCAAUAAUUCUAACAACCUAUGAAAGUGAGUUCCUAGA
rnacentral:lncRNA from 10 species